AAUGAACGUUGGCGGCGUGGAUUAGGCAUGCAAGUCGAGCGAGAACCCGCAAGGGGGACAGCGGCAAACGGGGUAGGAAUGAUUGGUGACGUACCCUCGGGACGGGGAUAGCCACGGGAAACUGUGGGUAAUACCCGAUAAUCUCCCAGGUUUGAAGACCUGGGAGCAAAGGUGUGAUUCCACCGGAGGAGCGGCCAAUCUGGUAUUAGCUAGUUGGUAGGGUAACGGCCUACCAAGGCUACGAUGCCUAGGGGGUGUGAGAGCAUGGCCCCCACCACUGGGACUGAGAUACUGCCCAGACACCUACGGGUGGCUGCAGUCGAGAAUCUUCGGCAAUGGGCGAAAGCCUGACCGAGCGACGCCGCGUGCGGGAUGAAGGCCUUCGGGUUGUAAACCGCUGUCAGAGGGGAUGAAGUUCUAGGAGGUUCUCCUUCUAGAUUGACAGAGCCUCAGAGGAAGCACGGGCUAAGUAUGUGCCAGCCGCCGCUGUAAAAC
rnacentral:rRNA from 1 species